GGGGAUUUAGCUCAGUGGUAGAGCGCUUGCCUAGCAAGCGGUAGGCCCUGGGUUCGGUCCCCAGCUCCG
rnacentral:tRNA from 1 species